rnacentral:rRNA from 1 species
CCUACCUAUAAGACUGGGAUAACUUCGGGAAACCGGAGCUAAUACCGGAUAAUAUUUCGAACCGCAUGGUUCGAUAGUGAAAGAUGGCUUUGCUAUCACUUAUAGAUGGACCUGCGCCGUAUUAGCUAGUUGGUAAGGUAACGGCUUACCAAGGCAACGAUACGUAGCCGACCUGAGAGGGUGAUCGGCCACACUGGAACUGAGACACGGUCCAGACUCCUACGGGAGGCAGCAGUAGGGAAUCUUCCGCAAUGGGCGAAAGCCUGACGGAGCAACGCCGCGUGAGUGAUGAAGGUCUUCGGAUCGUAAAACUCUGUUAUUAGGGAAGAACAAACGUGUAAGUAACUGUGCACGUCUUGACGGUACCUAAUCAGAAAGCCACGGCUAACUACGUGCCAGCAGCCGCGGUAAUACGUAGGUGGCAAGCGUUAUCCGGAAUUAUUGGGCGUAAAGCGCGCGUAGGCGGUUUUUUAAGUCUGAUGUGAAAGCCCACGGCUCAACCGUGGAGGGUCAUUGGAAACUGGAAAACUUGAGUGCAGAAGAGGAAAGUGGAAUUCCAUGUGUAGCGGUGAAAUGCNCAGAGAUAUGGAGGAACACCAUUGGCGAAGGCGACUUUCYGGUCUGUUACUGACGCUGAUGUGCGAAAGCGUGGGGAUCAAACNGGAUUAAAUACCCCUGGUA